rnacentral:tRNA from 1 species
CGCACAGUAGGGCAUUGGCAGCCCGGCAGGCCUAUGAGCCUGCAGGCAGCUGGUUCGAUUCCAGCCUGUGCAA